rnacentral:rRNA from 1 species
UACGUAGGGGGCAAGCGUUGUCCGGAUUUAUUGGGCGUAAAGAGCGUGUAGGCGGCCAGAUAGGUCCGUUGUGAAAACUCGAGGCUCAACCUCAAGCUGUCGGUGGAAACCACAUGGCUAGAGUCCGGAAGAGGAGAGUGGAAUUCCUGGUGUAGCGGUGAAAUGCGUAGAGAUCCGGAGGAACACCGACGGCGCAGGCAGCGUCCUGGCCGCUUGCUGACACUGAGGCACGAAAGCUGGGGGGAGCAAACAGG